GUGCUUGCUUUGGCAGCACAUAUACUAAAAUUCAAAUGAUAUAGAGAAGAUUAGUGUGGUCCCUGUGCAAGGAUGACAUACAAAUUCAUGAAGGGUUCCAGUUAAAA
ensembl:snRNA U6 U6 spliceosomal RNA